rnacentral:rRNA from 1 species
AAUCCAUAGGUUAAUGAGGCGAACCGGGGGAACUGAAACAUCUAAGUACCCCGAGGAAAAGAAAUCAACCGAGAUUCCCCCAGUAGCGGCGAGCGAACGGGGAGGAGCCCAGAGCCUGAAUCAGCAUGUGUGUUAGUGGAAGCGUCUGGAAAGGCGCGCGAUACAGGGUGACAGCCCCGUACACAAAAGCGCAUGUGCUGUGAGCUCGAUGAGUAGGGCGGGACACGUGGUAUCCUGUCUGAAUAUGGGGGGACCAUCCUCCAAGGCUAAAUACUCCUGACUGACCGAUAGUGAACCAGUACCGUGAGGGAAAGGCGAAAAGAACCCCGGCGAGGGGAGUGAAAAAGAACCUGAAACCGUGUACGUACAAGCAGUGGGAGCACCCUUUGGGUGUGACUGCGUACCUUUUGUAUAAUGGGUCAGCGACUUAUAUUCUGUAGCAAGGUUAACCGAAUAGGGGAGCCGGAGGGAAACCGAGUCUUAAUUGGGCGUUAAGUUGCAGGGUAUAGACCCGAAACCCGGUGAUCUAGCCAUGGGCAGGUUGAAGGUUGGGUAACACUAACUGGAGGACCGAACCGACUAAUGUUGAAAAAUUAGCGGAUGACCUGUGGCUGGGGGUGAAAGGCCAAUCAAACCGGGAGAUAGCUGGUUCUCCCCGAAAGCUAUUUAGGUAGCGCCUCGUGAAUUCAUCUCCGGGGGUAGAGCACUGUUUCGGCUAGGGGGCCAUCCCGGCUUACCAACCCGAUGCAAACUGCGAAUACCGGAGAAUGUUAUCACGGGAGACACACGGCGGGUGCUAACGUCCGUCGUGAAGAGGGAAACAACCCAGACCGCCAGCUAAGGUCCCAAAGUCAUGGUUAAGUGGGAAACGAUGUGGGAAGGCCCAGACAGCCAGGAUGUUGGCUUAGAAGCAGCCAUCAUUUAAAGAAAGCGUAAUAGCUCACUGGUCGAGUCGGCCUGCGCGGAAGAUGUAACGGGGCUAAACCAUGCACCGAAGCUGCGGCAGCGACACUGUGUGUUGUUGGGUAGGGGAGCGUUCUGUAAGCCUGUGAAGGUGUGUCGUGAGG